AGACCCGAAACCCGGUGAUCUAGCCAUGGGCAGGUUGAAGGUUGGGUAACACUAACUGGAGGACCGAACCGACUAAUGUUGAAAAAUUAGCGGAUGACCUGUGGCUGGGGGUGAAAGGCCAAUCAAACCGGGAGAUAGCUGGUUCUCCCCGAAAGCUAUUUAGGUAGCGCCUCGUGAAUUCAUCUCCGGGGGUAGAGCACUGUUUCGGCUAGGGGGCCAUCCCGGCUUACCAACCCGAUGCAAACUGCGAAUACCGGAGAAUGUUAUCACGGGAGACACACGGCGGGUGCUAACGUCCGUCGUGAAGAGGGAAACAACCCAGACCGCCAGCUAAGGUCCCAAAGUCAUGGUUAAGUGGGAAACGAUGUGGGAAGGCCCAGACAGCCAGGAUGUUGGCUUAGAAGCAGCCAUCAUUUAAAGAAAGCGUAAUAGCUCACUGGUCGAGUCGGCCUGCGCGGAAGAUGUAACGGGGCUAAACCAUGCACCGAAGCUGCGGCAGCGACACUCAGGUGUUGUUGGGUAGGGGAGCGUUCUGUAAGCCUGCGAAGGUGGCCUGUGAGGGUUGCUGGAGGUAUCAGAAGUGCGAAUGCUGACAUAAGUAACGAUAAAGCGGGUGAAAAGCCCGCUCGCCGGAAGACCAAGGGUUCCUGUCCAACGUUAAUCGGGGCAGGGUGAGU
rnacentral:rRNA from 1 species